rnacentral:rRNA from 1 species
GACGAACGCUGGCGGCGUGCUUAACACAUGCAAGUCGAACGGAAAGGCCCUGCUUGCAGGGUCCUCGAGUGGCGAACGGGUGAGUAACACGUGGGUGAUCUGCCCUGCACUUCGGGAUAAGCCUGGGAAACUGGGUCUACUACCGGAUACGAGCCAUUUUUAGUGUGAUGGUUGGAAAGUUUUUUCGGUGUAGGAUGAGCUCGCGGCCUAUCAGCUUGUUGGUGGGGUAAUGGCCUACCAAGGCGGCGACGGGUAGCCGGCCUGAGAGGGUGGACGGCCACAUUGGGACUGAGAGACGGCCCAGACUCCUACGGGAGGCAGCAGUGGGGAAUAUUGCACAAUGGGCGCGAGCCUGAUGCAGCGACGCCGCGUGGGGGAUGACGGCCUUCGGGUUGUAAACUCCUUUCGCUAGGGACGAAGCAUUUUGUGACGGUACCUAGAUAAGAAGCACCGGCUAACUACGUG